rnacentral:rRNA from 1 species
AGAGUUUGAUCCUGGCUCAGAACGAACGCUGGCGGCAGGCCUAACACAUGCAAGUCGAACGCUCCGCAAGGGGAGUGGCAGACGGGUGAGUAACGCGUGGGAACGUACCCCUCGGUUCGGAAUAACUCAGGGAAACUUGAGCUAAUACCGGAUACGGCCGAGAGGCGAAAGAUUUAUCGCCGAGGGAUCGGCCCGCGUCC